UGAUCGGGCGCGCAUCUUGGGCGGGUGCGCAGGGAUAGAUCACCUUUUCGAUCUUUGAGGCUCGCGCCGGGAAUGCCCCUUCCGUUGCGCG
rfam:Tateyamaria sp. ANG-S1 contig_22, whole genome shotgun sequence.